AUAGGCUAGUGGCGACUCCUAGAAAUAUUUAGGUUGUUAAGAAUUGAAAUAUGAAAUCCAACGUCGCGCGAGGUAUGGGCUUGGGAGAGCCCCGCCUAAUUUAGGGCCAUUGGUCCGCUUCUUUAGGCAAAUACCCCUAAACACUCUUCCUUUUCCCCCGGACGGAAAAAAAGAGGUCGUGACAGCUUGGCGACUCCGCUGGGGA
rnacentral:lncRNA from 1 species